UACGUAGGGUGCAAGCGUUGUCCGGAAUUAUUGGGCGUAAAGAGCUCGUAGGCGGUUUGUCGCGUCUGCUGUGAAAACUCGGGGCUUAACUCCGGGCCUGCAGUGGGUACGGGCAGGACUAGAGUGCGGUAGGGGAGACUGGAAUUCCUGGUGUAGCGGUGAAAUGCGCAGAUAUCAGGAGGAACACCGGUGGCGAAGGCGGGUCUCUGGGCCGUAACUGACGCUGAGGAGCGAAAGCGUGGGGAGCGAACAGG
rnacentral:rRNA from 1 species